GUCCAAGGUGAUUCCCUCUCCAAGGGGCUGACCAGUGCCCCUUUCAGGAACGUAGCAACUUGGAAGAAAAUCUGGGGAACAAGGGUUGCUUGUUGCCUUUGCCUGCCUUUGGUUGCCUACAUGU